CAGAUGAUGAGUUCGUGAAGCAGCAGUGCAAGCCCUUAUUUUAAUGGCUCCAUUAACUUCAACUCCAGUCUCAUUAUUACCCUUCCAAAACCCAUUUUUGCCCUUGCUCUCCCUCUCUCCCAUCCUCUCACAGAUCCAUCGGAAACCGGCUACGUUCCUCGCCGGAAUCCACGGGAUCACUCAUCAGAAAACACGUCGUAAACCGCCGGAAAAGAGCAUGUCUGUCAGCGUUCAGAUGCCAACUCCGUCACACCGGCGGGACAGGGACGACGACACUGAUGUGGAUUCUAGAAAUUGUGCAGGGAAAGGGGACAUGCUAACAACAAAUAUGGAAGGAGAGACCUGCUCACAUAGUCAAGUUGCUCCACGGAAGAACAGAUAUCUUAUGAGCAAUGUCAAGUGCUUUGGGGUGGACCUGUCCCCUGAUAAUGUUGCCGUUGCCAUGGUAUAUUUUGUCCAAGGUGUUCUAGGCCUUUCUAGGCUUGCUGUCAGUUUUUAUUUAAAAGACGAUCUGCAUCUAGAUCCUGCAGAGACUGCUGUGAUAUCUGGUUUCUCUGCACUACCGUGGCUUGUCAAACCUCUUUAUGGGUUUAUUAGCGAUUCUUUACCACUUUUUGGUUAUCGAAGAAGGUCAUACUUGGUUCUAUCAGGGCUUCUUGGAGCACUCUCAUGGAGUUUGAUGGCCACUUUUGUGGACAGCAAGUAUGGUGCCGCUUUCUGUAUACUUCUUGGUUCUCUUUCUGUUGCCUUCUCAGAUGUUGUUGUAGAUUCCAUGGUUGUAGAGAGGGCUCGGGGUGAGUCACAAAGCAUGUCAGGAUCGCUUCAGUCUUUAUGCUGGGGAUCCUCUGCUUUUGGUGGAAUAGUGAGCUCCUACUUUAGUGGCUCCCUGGUGGGUGCUUAUGGUGUAAGGUUUGUUUUUGGUGUCACGGCAUUGCUACCUCUGAUAACAUCUGCUGUCGCUAUUCUUGUUAAAGAACAGCCUGUGGCUGGUCCAGCAAGGGGACAGGCUUUUCCUUUGAUCAGUCCUAGCUUUUAUGAGAGCUCAAAACAGAACAUUAUUCAGUUGUGGGAUGCUGUCAGGCAGCGUAAUAUAUUUCUUCCCACCUUAUUCAUUUUCCUCUGGCAGGCAACACCACACUCGGACUCUGCCAUGUUUUACUUUACCACAAAUAGACUUGGUUUCACCCCAGAAUUUUUAGGACGUGUCAAGCUUGUUACUUCGGUGGCAUCACUAAUUGGUGUUGGACUGUAUAAUGGGUUUUUGAAAGAUGUUCCAUUGCGGAAGAUUUUUUUUGUAACUACAAUUUUUGGCUCAGCUCUUGGGAUGACCCAGGUUUUUCUAGUCACUGGAUUAAACAGGAAGUUUGGUAUAAGUGAUGAAUGGUUCUCCAUUGGGGAUUCUUUGAUUCUAACUGUUCUUGGUCAGGCUUCAUUCAUGCCUGUUCUUGUUUUAGCAGCAAGAUUAUGUCCACAGGGGAUGGAAGCAACUCUUUUUGCAACCCUUAUGUCCAUUUCAAAUGGAGGAAGUGUUGUGGGGGGGCUGGUGGGUGCUGGUCUGACCCAGCUGUUUGGUGUCACCAAGGAUAGCUUUGAUAAUUUAACUUUUUUGAUAAUCCUCUGCAAUCUCAGCUCUCUGUUGCCAUUGCCACUCCUUGGCCUCCUUCCUCAAGACAGCCCUGAUGAUGCUUCUACAAAGGAGACUGAAGAUAUCGAGAUGAAGUGUAAUUGAAUUUGAAUUUUGUUGUCAUCCACAUUGUUCAAACUUACCUGCUUCACUCUUCAAGGGAUCUUUUAGAGCCUCAUUGUGCCAAAAUUUUGAGCUUGGUUAGCUGGAGGUUACAAAAGUAACAGAGAGAAUUUUACUUGUAAAUAACACAAUGUCCCAUUUUGAAAGCACAUGCUAUUUGAGUUUGGAACUUGACUACUGUUGUAACUCUUCAGACAAAAAGGCAGCAUUUUUUGUCCAUGUACUAAGCUCAUUCUUUUCCAGGUGAAAUAUAAACCAAGUUACAAUCCCUUGAUCCAUCGGCAAUAGUCACAAAACUGCUUCUUCGAAUGUGGGCAAUACUCAAGUCACCUGUGCAUCAGAGGGAUUGAAUUUGUCAAGGUAUGCAAUUUAUCCAAAUAGUACUUUGGAUCAGUGUGCACUUAAUUGGAGUGAGCAAAGCCGAACCCACCACCACCAAAAGGAACACAUUUCUGAUGGUCCUCUCAUGAGGCGUUCUGAUAGGGGCAGCCCACAUGGUAGGGCCCUGUAAGUGUUCCAAUGUGUUGUCAUCUCUUCUGUUCUACUCCAUCUUCAUGAAUUGAAUGCGGGCCCACCAGAACUUUUCAACUGCGGCAUGCCACACAAUAUUGACCAGAAUUGUAAGUGUUCCAAUGUGUUGUCAUCCUACAAUUUUUUUUUUUUGUUUUGUUUUAGGAAGUCUAAAUAAAAAUUGAGAAGAAUGGUUGAUUUUAUGAAAGGAUCUCCAUCUUAUUGUUUUUUUUUCUCGAAAAA